UGGGGAAUAUUGCACAAUGGGCGCAAGCCUGAUGCAGCCAUGCCGCGUGUAUGAAGAAGGCCUUCGGGUUGUAAAGUACUUUCAGCGGGGAGGAAGGCGAUAAGGUUAAUAACCUUGUCGAUUGACGUUACCCGCAGAAGAAGCACCGGCUAACUCCGUGCCAGCAGCCGCGGUAAUACGGAGGGUGCAAGCGUUAAUCGGAAUUACUGGGCGUAAAGCGCACGCAGGCGGUUUGUCAAGUCGGAUGUGAAAUCCCCGGGCUCAACCUGGGAACUGCAUUCGAAACUGGCAGGCUAGAGUCUUGUAGAGGGGGGUAGAAUUCCAGGUGUAGCGGUGAAAUGCGUAGAGAUCUGGAGGAAUACCGGUGGCGAAGGCGGCCCCCUGGACAAAGACUGACGCUCAGGUGCGAAAUCGUGGGGAGCAAACA
rnacentral:rRNA from 1 species